UCCCAACCCCUGUGAACAUACCUUAAUGUUGCCUCGGCGGAUCAGCCCGCGCCCUGUAAAACGGGACGGCCCGCCAGAGGACCCAAACUCUAAUGUUUCUUAUUGUAACUUCUGAGUAAAACAAACAAAUAAAUCAAAACUUUCAACAACGGAUCUCUUGGUUCUGGCAUCGAUGAAGAACGCAGCAAAAUGCGAUAAGUAAUGUGAAUUGCAGAAUUCAGUGAAUCAUCGAAUCUUUGAACGCACAUUGCGCCCGCUGGUAUUCCGGCGGGCAUGCCUGUUCGAGCGUCAUUUCAACCCUCAAGCCCCCGGGUUUGGUGUUGGGGAUCGGCUCUGCCUUCUGGCGGCGCCGCCCCCGAAAUACAUUGGCGGUCUCGCUGCAGCCUCCAUUGCGUAGUAGCUAACACCUCGCAACUGGAACGCGGCGCGGCCAUGCCGUAAAACCCCAACUUCUGAAUGUUGACCUCGGAUCAGGUAGGAAUACCCGCUGAACUUAAGCAUAUCAAUAAGCGGAGGA
rnacentral:sRNA from 1 species